rnacentral:rRNA from 1 species
AUUGAACGCUGGCGGCAUGCUUUACACAUGCAAGUCGAACGGCAGCGCGUUGCUACCUGUCGGCUCGUGUCGAACGGGUGUGUAAUAUUUCUUUACGUUCCCAUAAUUUUUGUUUAACGUAUCGAUAGUUACGCUAAUACCGCUUACGAUCUACUGAUGACAGUAUGGGACCUCAAUGCCUUAUUCUUUUUUUUCUGCCGAUAUUUGAUUAGCUAGUUGGUGAGGUAAAGUCUCACCAAGGCGACGAUCAGUAGCUGGUCUGAGAGGACGACCAGCCACACUGGAACGGAGACACGGUACAGACUACUACGGGAGGAAGCAGUGGGGAAUAUUGGACAAUGGGCGAAAGCAUGAUCCAGCAAUGACGCGUGAGUGAAGAAGGACUUCGGGUUGUAAAGAUCUUUUGUAAGGGAAGAAAAGGUAGAGGCUAAUAUAAAUAGCAAAUGACGGUACCUGAAGAAUAAGCACCGGCUAACUACGUG